rnacentral:rRNA from 2 species
CGCCUCCUGCAACUAGAUUGAGUAUAGGAGGUCCAGCCUGCCCAGUGACUACGGGUUCAACGGCCGCGGUAUUUUGACCGUGCAAAGGUAGCGCAAUCACUUGUCUCUUAAAUAGAGACCUGUAUGAAUGGCUAGACGAGGGCUUAACUGUCUCCCCCUUUCAGUCAGUGAAAUUGAUCUAUCCGUGCAGAAGCGGGUAUAACAAUACAAGACGAGAAGACCCUUUGGAGCUUAAGGUACAAGAUUCAGCCACGUUAAACAACUCCAUAGAAAGCAAGAACUUAGUGCCCAUGAAAUUUUACCUUCGGUUGGGGCGACCACGGAGGAAAAAUAAGCCUCCGAGUGGACUGGGCCGAACCCCUAAAGCCAAGAGAAACAUCUCUAAGCCGCAGAACAUCUGACCAAUGAUGAUCCGGCUGAAAAGCCGAUCAACGAACCAAGUUACCCUAGGGAUAACAGCGCAAUCCUCUCCCAGAGCCCAUAUCGACGAGGGGGUUUACGACCUCGAUGUUGGAUCAGGACAUCCUAAUGGUGCAGCCGCUAUUAAGGGUUCGUUUGUUCAACGAUUAAAGUCCU